rnacentral:rRNA from 1 species
GUAGAAUGAACCGGCGAGUUACGAUUUGAUGCAAGGUUAAGCAGUAAAUGUGGAGCCGUAGCGAAAGCGAGUCUGAAUAGGGCGUUUAGUAUUUGGUCGUAGACCCGAAACCAGGUGAUCUACCCUUGGUCAGGUUGAAGUUCAGGUAACACUGAAUGGAGGACCGAACCGACUUACGUUGAAAAGUGAGCGGAUGAACUGAGGGUAGCGGAGAAAUUCCAAUCGAACCUGGAGAUAGCUGGUUCUCUCCGAAAUAGCUUUAGGGCUAGCCUCAAGUGAUGAUUAUUGGAGGUAGAGCACUGUUUGGACGAGGGGCCCCUCUCGGGUUACCGAAUUCAGACAAACUCCGAAUGCCAAUUAAUUUAACUUGGGAGUCAGAACAUGGGUGAUAAGGUCCGUGUUCGAAAGGGAAACAGCCCAGACCACCAGCUAAGGUCCCAAAAUAUAUGUUAAGUGGAAAAGGAUGUGGCGUUGCCCAGACAACUAGGAUGUUGGCUUAGAAGCAGCCAUCAUUUAAAGAGUGCGUAAUAGCUCACUAGUCGAGUGACACUGCGCCGAAAAUGUACCGGGGCUAAACAUAUUACCGAAGCUGUGGAUUGUCCUUUGGACAAUGGUAGGAGAGCGUUCUAAGGGCGUUGAAGCAUGAUCGUAAGGACAUGUGGAGCGCUUAGAAGUGAGAAUGCCGGUGUGAGUAGCGAAAGACGGGUGAGAAUCCCGUCCACCGAUUGACUAAGGUUUCCAGAGGAAGGCUCGUCCGCUCUGGGUUAGUCGGGUCCUAAGCUGAGGCCGACAGGCGUAGGCGAUGGAUAACAGGUUGAUAUUCCUGUACCACCUAUA